UACGAAGGGGGCUAGCGUUGCUCGGAAUCACUGGGCGUAAAGCGCACGUAGGCGGAUUGCUAAGUCAGGGGUGAAAUCCCGGAGCUCAACUCCAGAACUGCCUUUGAUACUGGCGAUCUCGAGUUCGGGAGAGGUGAGUGGAACUGCGAGUGUAGAGGUGAAAUUCGUAGAUAUUCGCAAGAACACCAGUGGCGAAGGCGGCUCACUGGCCCGAUACUGACGCUGAGGUGCGAAAGCGUGGGGAGCAAACAGG
rnacentral:rRNA from 1 species